rnacentral:tRNA from 1 species
AGAGAUAUAGCUCAGUUGGUAGAGUGCUUGCCCUGCAUGCACAAAUGCACAAGGCCCUGGUUCAAUCCCUAUCUCUA